rnacentral:rRNA from 1 species
UACGUAGGGGGCAAGCGUUGUCCGGAAUCAUUGGGCGUAAAGAGCGUGUAGGCGGCCUGGUAGGUCAGCUGUGAAAACUCGAGGCUCAACCUCGAGACGCCGGUUGAAACCAUCAGGCUAGAGUCCGGAAGAGGAGAGUGGAAUUCCCGGUGUAGCGGUGAAAUGCGCAGAUAUCGGGAAGAACACCCGUGGCUAAGGCGGCUCUCUAGUACGGUACUGACGCUGAGACGCGAAAAGCGUGGGGGAGCGAACAGGG